rnacentral:rRNA from 1 species
AGACGUCUACAUUAGAUACCCGUGUAGUCCUAGCCGUAAACGAUACUCGCUAGGUGUCGGCCACGGUGCGACCGUUGUCGGUGCCGUAGGGAAGCCGUGAAGCGAGCCACCUGGGAAGUACGGCCGCAAGGCUGAAACUUAAAGGAAUUGGCGGGGGAGCACAACAACGGGUGGAGCUUGCGGUUUAAUUGGAUUCAACGCCGGAAAUCUUACCGGGACCGACAGCAACAUGAAGGCCAAGCUGAAGACUUUGCCGGAUUAGCUG